CCCUUAGAUGUUCUGGGCAGCACGCGCGCUACAAUGGUCUUCGCAAACGGAUGCAUUCUCGAAGGAGAAUGCCAAUCUUGGAAUCUAUGCCUUGGUCGGAACAGUUGCUUGCAAUUUUUCGACUCGAACCAGGAAUUCCUUGUAAUCGUGAUUCAUCACAUCACGAUGAAUACGUCCCUGCCCUUUGUACACACCGCCCGUCGCUCCUACCGAUCGAAGAGUUAGGUGAAUUGUUUUGAUCGAUAAGAUUUGACUAUGGUCAACUCUCGUUGUGAAAUUCUGUGAAUCUGACUGUUUAGAGGAAGGAAAAGUCGUAACA
rnacentral:rRNA from 1 species